rnacentral:rRNA from 1 species
AGAGUUUGAUCCUGGCUCAGAACGUACGCUGGCGGCACGCCUAACACAUGCAAGUCGAACGAAGUAGCAAUACUUAGUGGCAGACGGGUGAGUAACAUGUAGGUAUCUACCCUUUGGCCUGGAAUAACACGAGGAAACUUGUGCUAAUACCGGAUAAGUCUUUACGGAGAAAGCUUUAUGCACCAUUGGAUGAGCCUGCACUUGAUUAGUUUGUUGGUGGGGUAAUGGCCUACCAAGACUGUGAUCAAUAGCUGAUUUGAGAGGAUGAUCAGCCACAUUGGGACUGAGACACGGCCCAAACUCCUACGGGAGGCAGCAGUGGGGAAUCUUGCACAAUGGAGGAAACUCUGAUGCAGCGAUGCCGCGUGAGUGAAGAAGGCCUUUGGGUUGUAAAGCUCUUUCGUCGGGGAAGAAAAUGACUGUACCCGAAUAAGAAGGUCCGGCUAACUUCGUGCCAGCAGCCGCGGUAAUACGAAGGGACCUAGCGUAGUUCGGAAUUACUGGGCUUAAAGAGUUCGUAGGUGGUUGAAAAAGUUAGUGGUGAAAUCCCAGAGCUUAACUCUGGAACUGCCAUUAAAACUUUUCAGCUAGAGUAUGAUAGAGGAAAGCAGAAUUUCUAGUGUA